GCUGCUUUCGCUUCUCUUCCUCCUUCUGUUGCCUCUCCCAGCCACUGGAACUUCCUCAAAUACGCCCUUAUCGGGGAUCUCACCGAAGGCACUGCCUUUGCCAGCUACGACUGUUAUGGUUUGUUUUCCUUUGUUUCCAUUUUAUUAUUCAUUUCCAUUUAGGGUUGAUCGAUCGAAUCAAGUGACAUUUAUGUGCUUUUUUAUCCUUUAAUUUGGUGUUGUCACUUUGAUAUGUUAAGGUUGUUAUCAAAUCAUUUUGAUCUGGAAAUGAUGUUAGUUGAAGACUUUUUUUUUGUUGUUGGAAUGAAAUAUGCAACUUACAGCUUAGAAAAAAUAGAACAGAAAACGAGGUCGCUCCAUGAAUCGACCAAGUACACGACUGGUGAUAAAGCCACUGCUCUUGAUAAUCAUAUUGGCCGAAGUAGGAGGUGUAGCAGGAGCUAUGAAUGAAGUGGAUAGGUGUAGGUAAGCCAACACUUUAUACACGGAUACAGAGAACAUUCAUGCAGAGAAAAUUGUGAGUAACUAUGUUCUAAACUACUAAUAAUUUGGAAAGUGGCAACAUUUAGUAAAUUUUCAUCUUUCCUAUAGGAGUGUGCUUAGUUGAGCCUGAAAAAAAGUGAGUGGUGGAUAAGAUGAAAAUAAAUUCUCUUUAUACUUGCUUGCGCAACCAAAGCAUGAGAAGGUAGACAAUAAUAUCUACUUCAUUUUUAAUUGUUGGUUGAAAUUUCAACUUGUACUCUCCUUUCCAGGUUUUGACUUUCCAUCUAUUCAACCUCACACUUUACUUUACAUAUUUUUUAUAGCAGAAAUUGAUGAUACUAUGAUUCAAAGUUGAAAUCAUAAAUUUGACAGUGAAAUAACCAUGUCGCAAUAAAUUCUAUGAAUUUGCAAGUAACAAAUGAGUAUUUUGUGGUAGAAGGGUUAAUGAAUAUUGUAUUUGAUAGUUUACCCUUUGAAUAAUUUUGCAGUGAAAGUGAUACUUAGAGGCGUGGAGAGAGGAAAAAUAUUCCCCGGAGGGUCGUUUAUAGAUGCUCAUCACCUCUUAUAGAUUUAUUUACUUUAAAAUAAACUAAUUGUAGAACAUUUUUAUCUCAUAGGGGGAGGGAAUUAUAAUAUUACAAAACACAAGGGAAAUAAUUUAUUGUUUGUUUAUACAUUGGUAAAAUAGCAGGAGCGUGAAGUCAUUUCUAAAUUUAUUAAGAGAACUAUGGUUGUGAUUUUAAGUUUUUGGCAUUAAUUUGAUUUUGUUAACUUAUGGUUUUAUGAUUAUGUCUUUCAAAACCUUUUGAUUUUUAAUUUUAAGGUUUUGGUAAUUUGCUGCAAAAGUUUUUUUUUUAUGAACUUGUGUGAUCUAAAUUACUAUUCUGUGUUUCAUUUUGUUAGUACAAGUUUUGUUAAGUGUGUUCUAAUUUGUUUCAAUAUUUUUGGUUUUGUGCUUUACCUAUUUGGUGCCCAGGCUGUCAUAAUUGAAGAAAAUAAUGCCACGAAACAUAUGGGUAUAGAGUUAUAUCAAAUUUCUUGUUUCUUACAUUUCCUAAUUCUAAAGCUUUAGUGCCUCUAAAACAAAUGGCUUAUGAACAUAUAUGACGCAUGUAGCCACUGGUGCGAAUAUGCAAAUAUUCCCUCCCAACAAUGGAGGAGACAGAGGAUUGGGAUAUCAUCCUCUUGGCAGUCCUAUUGGUAUAUUUUCCAAUUUUUGUGACUUUGAGAAUUGAGAUAGUUGUUUCUUUUUCUAAUUUUCUCUCUUCUCUCUCUCCCCCCUCUCUCUUUAAAUGAUUUAACAAUAUAUUGGUUUUUUCCUAGUGAUGUGAGUACAUGACAGUGCGACACUAAUCAAUAUAUUUUGUAGUGAAUUCAUGACUUGCUGGAGGAGAUUUGUUUUUUCUUUUAGUUGUAGCUAUCUUAGAACUAACCAAUUUAACUAGAGCUUUCAAGCAAUUUUUUUCUCCCUUUUUUUGCCCUCGUUUUCCUUUGAUUUUAUUCUUCAUGUUAAAGUCUUCAUAUAAAACUGACAAAAGGUUAUUGAGAAGGUUCUUGGUUUUACUUUGUCAGUGAGUUUCCUGGAUUUUUAGGAGGUACUUGUACAUGUGUUGAUCAAGGAGGUUGUAUGCGCUCUGAUAAGGGCCCUUGGAAGGAUGUAGAAAUUAUGAGGGUAGGCCUACAAUCCAUUUUAUUUUUCGUUUUUUCCCCUUGCUUCUCUCAACUUAGAACUUUAGUUGAUAAUUCAUGUACCAUGUAUGGAUUCGAAUCCCUAAACUUAUUGUUAUGCAAAUGCAGAUGGUUUAGAAUGGUGAUCUUAAAUGUUCAAAAAAAAAGUGUUACAAGGCGAGGAAGAGAAAGAAAAUUCUGAGGUGAGAUAGCUCAUUCUAAGCUCUUUGAUAAUACAUUUCGUUUUCAUUUAGUUGUGCCUCUUCAAAUGCUAUUGCUUUUAGCAUAUCAUUUUGAUAUUCUAGAGACUAUUAAUGCUUUCUGUCAUUUAUGAAAUUUUGGACUAAUAAAUGGGCAUAAUGUCGAGGAACACAAGACUUCCAAAUUGGAGGCAAAUCACACCCCCGAGCUUGCUCAAGUUGUUGUAGAGAAAUAUGGCGACGACAAUACACAUGACAAGUAUUGCCCUACGACGUUGUUCGAUGACGGCGACGUCUCUGAUGAAGGAUGUACUCAACAUGGUGGACCAACUCAGAGUAGACUCGAUCCGCGUUGAGUGGCAGCGAUUCAUGGCCGGCGAGUCGGAAUACGAGGGAGAAGGAAGGUUCGGAGGUGAGUUGUUGAUGUGGCCAUCCAACGAUUCACGUUCGUGGCGGGAAUCCGAGGGCUGUGAGAAAGUGAUGGUACAGCGAAUGAGGCGUAGCUCGAAGCCGCAGAUGCCGAUGAUGUCGAGUUCAAGGCUACACAUUGCUCUGGACUCUUAUUGAAGGAAACCCCCUUGUUUGUGCUACAGAAAAAGAAAAAAAUUGCCAUGGGAUGAAACUUAUGCCUAUGUCAAUGAACUUGAACGAUACUGAGGAUGCUUUGCCAUCAGGCAGAAAAAAG